UGGGGAAUAUUGCACAAUGGGCGAAAGCCUGAUGCAGCAACGCCGCGUGAGUGAUGAAGGUCUUCGGAUUGUAAAGCUCUGUCUUUUGGGACGAUAAUGACGGUACCAAAGGAGGAAGCCACGGCUAACUACGUGCCAGCAGCCGCGGUAAUACGUAGGUGGCGAGCGUUGUCCGGAUUUACUGGGCGUAAAGGGUGCGUAGGCGGAUGUUUAAGUGAGAUGUGAAAUACCCGGGCUUAACUUGGGUGCUGCAUUUCAAACUGGAUAUCUAGAGUGCAGGAGAGGAGAAUGGAAUUCCUAGUGUAGCGGUGAAAUGCAUAGAGAUUAGGAAGAACACCAGUGGCGAAGGCGAUUCUCUGGACUGUAACUGACGCUCAGGUCNAAGCAGUGGGGUAG
rnacentral:rRNA from 1 species